UUAAACUAUUCGGUUGUCAAGUGACUCGCUGCCAAAUUAAUUAAUUUUACGCGUUAAAAUAACAAAGAAAGUUGAAAUAUUUUUACAUAAAAAUAUAAUUAAAGUGUUUAUGAACAUAAUUGUGUAAAAAUUUGCCAAUAAAAUUAAUUAGAUUGUGCAGGAAACGUGUUAGAAAAUUAUAAGAAAAUUGCAAUUUUUUAAUGAUUGUCUUUGUUAUGUAUUUCUUUUGUUUGUCUUUCGUUUUGAGUGUUUGUUUGUGUGUUGCAUCAGAAGUAGGAGAAAAAGUAACAGAGGAGUAUAAUCUCGUUGUUGUUUGAGAGUGUGCAAUUUGUUAUUGUAAACAAAUAGUCAAAAUAAAAUGAAGUAUAAAGUCGUAAUUGAAGGCUUUAAAUAAAAUGCAAUUAUUAGUGUUUGUCAAAUGUUAAUUAAAAUGUAUUAUAAAAUACAGAUAUUCGUGUUAAAUAAUAAAUUUAAUUAUUGUAAUAAGUGUUAUCAAAACAAAACUUCAAAAUAAUAACUACCUAUACAAAACAGUAAAUUGAUUGGAAAUAGAGGAGAUUGGUGGAUUUCUUGCUUGGAGUUUGAGAAGGAGGUAGCUGUCGUUUUUAAUGAAGUUAAUUGCAAUUUAACAGCAGUGGGAUCAAUUGUGAUUCAAUUAAUGUUGCUUAUGGUAACCCGUCAAUACCUUUUCCAAUACCAGAGGAAAUCAUUAUACAAUCGAAGAAGCAAAUAUCAAUCAAAACUAAAAUUCUAACAGAAUUUCAAAAUGGCUGCAACAAUGAUCAUGGAUAAGUGAAUUUCAAAAUGGCAGCGAAAGCAGUGGAAAAAUUCUAUUGAAAAAUAGAAAAUUUUGAAAAUAAUAAAAUAAUUUUCUAAGUGUAAUUUUAUACUAUCCAGUUGUUUUCUUAAAACAUGUGUGUGAUAUAUUUAAAUAUCUACCAUGCACUUAAGAUAAAAUAUAAGUGUAUCACUUAAAUUGCAAAUUUUAAUAAUGGAAAAUCAAACUUGUAUGCAUUUUUAUUGAAUUUUAAAAAUAACAAAAUCAUUGCAUUUCUUAGAUAAUUUAAUAUAUUCAAUGCAUUUAAAUAGAAAAUUUAAAAACAAUUUAUAAAAAUACGGCACACUUAAUUUAU